GAUGAACGCUGGCGGCGUGCCUAAUACAUGCAAGUCGAGCGAACAGACGAGGAGCUUGCUCCUUUGAUGUUAGCGGCGGACGGGUGAGUAACACGUAGGUAACCUACCUAUAAGACUGGGAUAACUUCGGGAAACCGGAGCUAAUACCGGAUAAUAUUUCGAACCGCAUGGUUCGAUAGUGAAAGAUGGCUUUGCUAUCACUUAUAGAUGGACCUGCGCCGUAUUAGCUAGUUGGUAAGGUAACGGCUUACCAAGGCAACGAUACGUAGCCGACCUGAGAGGGGGACCGCCAACACGGGAACGGAGACGCGGUCCGAACUCCUAGGGGGGGCAGAGGGAGGGAAUCUGCCGAAAGGGGCGAAAGCCUAACGGAGCAACGCGGGGGGAGUAAUGAAGUUCUUCGGACCGAAAACCUCUUUUAUUGGGGAAAAAAAAACGUGAAAGUAACUGGGCAGGUCUUGACGGAACCAAAUCAGAAACCCCCGGCUAACUACG
rnacentral:rRNA from 1 species